ACUGCUCAGUAACACGUAGCUAAUCUACCCUUAAGUCAAGGAUAACCUCGGGAAACUGAGGAUAAUACUUGAUAGGAGAUAUACCCUGGAAAGAUUUAUCUCAUAAAUUCGAGCUUAAGGAUGAGGCUGCGGCGGAUUAGGUUGUUGGCGGGGUAAUAGCCCACCAAGCCUAUGAUCCGUAAGGGCUCUUAGCGGAGAGGCCCUGAGAGGGAAUCUGAGACACUAUUCCCAGCCCUACGGGGUGCAGCAGGUAGGAAUCUUUUGCAAUGCGCGCAAGCGUGACAAAGCGAGCCAGAGUGCUUUUCAAUGAAAAGCUUUUGCCAAAUGUAAAAAGUUUGGCGAAUAAGGACUGGGUAAGACGAGUGCCAGCAGCCGCGGUAAUA
rnacentral:rRNA from 1 species